GGGGACGCGAGCAUGGCCAGGAGCUAGCAGACAGAGGAGGCAGGAAUGUGUUCUUAUGCAAUUCUCCAGACGGAGCGCGAGCGACGCGUUUCCUCCGCUGGGCGGAUCAGCCAAUGACCGCGCGCGCUGCGCCUCCCUUUCUCUCCGCGCGUCUCUCACUAAAAACCGCUGGAGUCUCGCAGAGGAAGAGCGAGCGCGGCCAGGAUGAGGAUCGCGAUGAGGAGGAGGAUGAUGAUGAUGGAUGCUGUAGCGUGCCGUCUGCUGUUUCUAGCGCUGCUCUUCGGAGCCAGGAUCCAGAACACGGAAGCUUGGGAGAGUCUUUCAAGCUUAAUCGAGCGAGAUCUGUUGUUAGGAAUGCUAACCCACCCACCCAACCACUUUACCAAUUUACAUCAAGAUGAAGAUUAAUUAGCUCGCCUCUGAAAACUCGACACGCUCUUCAGUCGAUCCCCUGUCUGCCGUUCAGAGAGCUGAAGGGACGGUGAACAAACAGCACUCCGAUUCAGACUCUCGGCUGCGUGCUUGGAUUACAAGCCUCGGAUGAAUUGCCUCGGCGGCUGAGAGCAUGCAGGAGCUUUCUGCCGAAAAGACACUGAACAGCACUUGGCUUUCAAUGCCAGAUCAUUCAGUUACUGCAGUAGAGGUUCAAGCCAGAGGCUCCAAAGAUGAGAAAUCCAAUUGCAAUUGAUUCCCAAAAUCAGUACUCAUUGUCUAGAAGGUUUUUUUUUUUCUUUGUGUUUGGCAUUAGAUGAAACUGCUUCCAUUCUUUUGAUUUCUGAGACUGAAAUCCUGCAGACAUUCCGUCCAUUUAUUAAUGUCUUAGAUGCUCCUAAUCAGAUUGAAUUGGGUUCAUUGAAAGCAUUAUCUGAGUCUCUGAUUUACAUUGUGUAAUAGUCAUGAUGGAAGUGUUGGAUCAUUGUGAUCAUGGUGUGUCAGUAUGACUGUGUUCAGCUACAGUCCAGCGCUGCAACCUUCAUUGCUCUAAAUAUAAUGCUAUAAUCAAUGCUUUUCACCGUCAGUUCCUCUAGGUUACAGUAAAAACGCAGUAAAGGUUUUUGAGAGAGUUCCACAAGUAAUGCUCAUUUCAUAUGCAAAGCUGUUAGCCAAUCACAAGAGUGUGCUAACACAGUAGACACGCCCCUUCCAACAGAGCACUCAAAUCAGGUGAGAAAAUGACCAUUAAUAUCUAAAUUAUGAUGAAAAAACCAUGCUAAGCUUAUAAGUGCACCUCAGGAAACAUUAUAAAAUAUUAAUUAAAAAAUGACCCCUUUAUAUAUUUCAGGAAUUUCGUGAAGUCCUCUGAUAGGAAAAGAUAUGAAGAUGACUAAUAAAUGGCCCGAAUACUUCACCCCAAACUGAACUCGAAUUACUCCGCUUCAUGUCCUUCCAAACCAGAAUACAUUUCAUUUUUCUGCAGAACGCUGAAGAGAAUAAGUUGCAGAAUGUUCAGUUUGGACCCCAUUGACAUUCAGUGUACAUUUUUUUCAAAAUAUGUUUUGAUCUAUUGAAAGAAUCUCAUACAUGUUUUGGACUGACAUUUGCAUGAACUGUCCUUUUAAGACAAAAUAAAGGGAAUAAAUCGGAAUCGGAAGCUCUGUUCUGACUGACGUGUGUUCAUGUGAGCGAUGAAUAUCUCAAAUAUCAUGUGAAAGUCAACAGAUGAGAGCAGGAGAAUGAGCUGACAGCAACAUCAUCGCAUGGCCAAGUGAAGCCAGUCUUCAUCCUCACAGAGAACAAAGCCUUCCAGCUGUGAUGUGCUCACGGUUGGUCCAGCGUUGGGCCGGCUGUAGCUCACGCGUGUCUCCACAGUGAUGGAGUAACGGCUGCAGCGAGUCGUGAUGGAGAAGUGUUAGAUCGUGUGAGACGCAAACACACACUCGUUUGUUUAAGGCCUGCGGCAUUGAUUCCAUAGACCUCAGAUGACUCCCGGAAACUCAGGCUAUUACUUUCAGUAAUGCUGCAAUCAAGUGUUUUGUUUUGAAGGUUGAUGGAACUGAUUUGAACCGGGAUGUGAACCAGUCAGAGUGGAACUGAGAUUGCUUUUUAAGUUCCAAUUGAACUCCUGAAUUUCAAGUAGAAAACUACAUGAAGAAUUACAUGAAAAAGAGCACUGCAAUAAAUUUGAGUUAAUUACAAACUACAGGAAGUUGAAUUGGAAUUUGUAAACAAAAUUGGAAUAUACACUAGCAUUCAAAAGUUAGAAAAGUUAUUUUUUUAUGGUUUUGAAAGAAGUCUCUUCUGCUCACCAGGGCUGCAUUAACAGGAUCAAGAAUACAGUAUAAACAGUAAUAUUGUGAAAUAUUGUUACUGUACUCUUUUCAAGUUCCAGUUGAACUGAAUUUAAAGUAGCAAACUAUAUGCAGAAUCGCAUGAAAGAAGUAUUGCAAGAAAAGAGAAAUAAAUUAUAAAUUUUUAAAUGUUGGUUUGACAAAGACUUGUUUAAAAGUAAACAAAAAAAAUUGUAAGGUCUAUAAUCCUUAGUGACAGAGAGAACAGAUAGGAAUAUUAUAGCACACUAAUGAAGUAAAAUUAAUAAAAAAUUACAUUUAUUGCAAAAAAUGUAAUAAAAAUUGCAUUCAUCAUUAUUAAUUCCAGUCAACGGUAUGUUUGACGUAAUGCAGGCCAUAAGUUUGUGGUUACUGUGAAUAUAAUUCAGUAAAAUUAAAUUGGAUAAAAUUCUGUUGAUAUGAUGUUUAUUUUGUAAUGUAUCUUCCGAUCAGAUUUUUAGAGAUUAUUGUGAACUAAGAAGGUAUGAGACAUCCUGUGGCAUCAUGGGACAGUAAUACUGUUGGCCAAUCAGAAGCCAGAACUAUAUAUGAUUUGAAUACUUUCAUAGUUUUAGGGUUUAUAGGAGUUAAUUAAAGGGUUACUCCACCCCAAAAUGAAAAUUUUGUCAUUAAUCUCUUACCCCCAUGUCGUUCCAAACCCGUAAAAGCUCUGUUCGUGUCUCUUCAUAAUGUUAUGGUUUAAUCACUGAUGGCAGAUGGAGUAUUCUGACCAUGCUUUUCAUUCUUUCCUGGACCUUGACACUGUUAUUUAUUUGGCAGUCUAUGAGACAGUCACAAGCCUACCGGUUUUCAUCCAAAAUAUCUUAAAUUGUGUUCUGAAGACGAACAAAGCUUUUAUGGGUUUGGAACGACAUGAGGGUAAGAGAUUAAUGACAAAAUUUUCAUUUUGGGGUGGAGUAUUCCUUUAAAAAGUUUAAUUAUGAUAGUCACAAAGUUUUGCUUUGUAUGAAGAAACAAACAUCUUGGUUUUCCUUUUGGUGCCCGUCUCUUCCUUUAAUCAUGACUCUUCUGUGUGUAUCUGUGAAUGGAUGCGGGAGUAAAGUGCUGGAGUAAUGUUCAGCUUGGAUUAGACAGCUUCUGUUUUUCCUCCCCAGUACGCAAUCAAGACAUUCAUUUAGAGCAAACCAUCAGUGUAUUUCCACCAGACAAAAUAUAAAUAAAAUCUGCUCUCCAGCCCGGUUGCUUGUGUUUAUAAAUACAUAUGAAUAUGUGAGGGCUGUGUUUAGACUCCAGGAAACAAAGCAGAGCCGGCGCAGACAAAGACAAACACUCUUCCCCCUCCAGCUCUGAGUCUGUUACUGUAUGAAUCUGCAGCGCUUCAUAAUCUACAGUAUCAUUACUCUCUAGAGAAGACUUCUUAUAUAUCAGACUCCUUCAUCAAAAGCUUUAUAGCACAAAACAGACCACAAAGGAUAGUUUGGGGUGAAACUGUACGAAGGAAAACUGAUUCUCUUGUCUGUCAGAUAUAGAGCUGAACAUGUAAUCAAAACAAGCGUAAUCACGCAGAUGUGUGUUUUGUGUUUCUCUUCGGUUCCUGCUGGUACACAAGAGAUAAGAGCUUAAACAUCACCCCACACUAAAAAUAUGGUUUUUAAAAGUAUAUAUAUAUAUUUUUAUCAUUUUGAAUGUGUAUAUAUGUAUAUAUAUUGUCUAGUUUUGGUGUAUUUUAUGGUUGUUUUUGGUCUGGUUUGUUCAGUGGAAGCAUGUGUUCAUGAAGGAGCAGAACAUGAUACUCCAGAUGAUUGUUUAGUGCUUACAGUGGCAUCGGGACGCGCACACUCACAGCUCCAUUCUCUUUCUCGUUCUAGCAAACCCACGUCACUUAUUUUUCAAACAGUUGUGUUUGAAUGACUCGCUGUAACUGCUCUCAGUGUUCAAGGCUGCUUGAGAGAAUAGAGAAACCUUGAGCAACACAUGGAGUCCUGCUGCCUUCGGAUUUCAUGCACGUCCUCAGCUUUUUCAAGGUUUCUUUUCGUAUGUAAGUAUCAGAGGAUAAUCCCGGCGCUCUGCAUUGGAAAUGGAAGCGAAUGCAUUGAGAGCGCAGCUGUUUAGAGACACACCUCAGCUUUGUUCAUCGGUGCAGGUGUUUGUGUGGAUUCUGUUCGUGUGUGUGUGUGUGUCCUGGAGAUCCCAUAGAAAGCCCCUGAUUAGCCCUCAUAUUAUUUAUUAAAAUGUAUACACUUAUCAUAUAAGAGAAUAUAGACAUUAUUGAAUUAAAUGUAUCAAAUAUUAAAGAGUUAAUUUACAGCUAAUGAAUGAAUUUAUUUUACACAGAAUUGUUGUGUCUGAGUACUACACCGUCUGCAGACGGGUGUGCUGUAAGCCUCGAGGGAAGCGAUACUGAAAGUGUCUGGUGUCUGUGGCGCUCGCAGGUGGCGAGAUGUUCAGAUAUGUGCUGUUUUUACUGUAGUUUGUGGUUUUGCUCAGUCGUGCUCUGCCCAGACUCACGUCUGCCUCUAAUUUCCUCUCUGUCUGUCUCCUCUGUGAGAGGACAAAUCAGCUGAAUAUCACAUCACUGCAGCGCUCCCUCCACUGUAAUGCUGUUAUGAGAUGGAUUUAUGGAGGUUCACGUGUCCUCCUCAUGACAAGACUGUGAUAAUGUCCUGUCCUGACCACGCCUUGACUAGUUUUAUAACAUAAUAUCAGCUGUGAUUUGAGAAAGUACUUUACAAAUAACAAAAAAAUACAAAAUAACAACAGUAGUAAAAACACAGCAAUAUUAAUAAUAAUGAUUGUCAUUAUCUUAAUAAUGAUUAUUAAUC
ensembl:lncRNA